rnacentral:rRNA from 1 species
UCUAGCAUGAAGUCAGACAAGUGAACCCGCUGAAUUUAAGCAUAUCAAUUAG